rnacentral:lncRNA from 1 species
AGCUCAUGCAAAUGCUGCGGGGAGCCCGGCCCCGGCCAUCUCAGGAACGACGGAGCACAAUGCCAGCGCGUCAAUGUCCUCUGUUCAUCACCCAUUCGCUGCUUUCCCUCCCUUCGCCCAGUUCGGCCGGGACAGCGGCAGCUCGUACCUCAACAUGUCGUCUGCCUUUUCAAGCCUCAUCGUUUCCACCCUGAUGCAGAAUCCCGCGGUCCAUGCAGCGGCCACCGUGGCAGCCUCCUUCUGGCCGACCGCAGAUGCUGAAGCUUCGACGGGUUCUGCUUCAGAGAGCUUCGUGGGGGGGAUCCCCAUGAGGCAGAUGAACCCUUCUCCGAGCAUGGCCGCAAUCGCCGCCGCUACAGUCGCGGCGGCGUCGGCGUGGUGGGCGACGCACGGGCUCCUGCCAUUUUGC